rnacentral:misc_RNA from 1 species
GAUAAGAACGUAGCGAAAUGCGAUAAGUAAUGUGAAUUGCAGAAUUCAGUGAAUCAUCGAAUCUUUGAACGCACAUUGCGCCCGCCAGUAUACUGGCGGGCAUGCCUGUCUGAGCGUCAUUUCAACCCUCAGCCCCCGCUCGCGGGGCGCUGGCGUUGGGGAUCGGCCGUCCUCGCGGCGGCCGGCCCCGAAACACAGUGGCGGUCUCUCGCGGACUCCCCUGCGUAGUAGCACUACCUCGCAGUAGGGACGAGCGGGCUGACCACGCCGUAAAACCCCCCACUUCUCCAGGUUGACCUCAGAUCAGGUAGGAAUACCCGCUGAACUUAAGCAUAUCAAUAAGCGGAGGA